rnacentral:rRNA from 1 species
UACGGGGGGAGCAAGCGUUGUUCGGAUUUACUGGGCGUAAAGGGCGCGUAGGCGGUCAGCACAAGUCAGUUGUGAAAUCUCCGGGCUUAACUCGGAACUGCCUUUGAUACUGUUGGUCUUGAGUCCGGAAGAGGUGAGUGGAAUUCCUAGUGUAGAGGUGAAAUUCGUAGAUAUUAGGAAGAACACCGGUGGCGAAGGCGGCUCACUGGUCCGGUACUGACACUGAGGUGCGAAAGCGUGGGGAGCAAACAGG